GGCUCUGUAGUGAAGUUCAUAGUGAGUUGCAAGCUCAUUGAUGUGCAUUAAUUGUGUACCGGGGCCU
rnacentral:tRNA from 4 species